GGCUGAACCAUGGUUUCGUUUAGCUCCUCCCGUUCUGCGCUCCACCGUGUUCAGCGCACCACGCCGCCGCCACUCUCCGCCCCCCGUCGUCGCCGUCCCUGCCGGCGGCAGAGCGCGGCCGCAAACCAGCUGCACAGAUCGGUCCGGCGCACUCCGCACUUCGCCACUGCAACAUCCGACAGGUUUUGGAGGUUUAGCCAUGUGAUGAUUUCCUUCCACACUUCCUUUGUAAAGGAGCAAAUUUUGCACAGAUGGAUUGGGGUCUCAUUCUCUGUUCGACAUAGCUUGCAUAUUGGAUCAUGGGGUCAUCCCCUCUUCGCAAGAUUGAUGGCUGUUAAAAUUUUCCUGUGCAGCAGCAGCCAUGCAUAUUAGCUGUUCCUAGGUAUGUGCACAUGCUUUUUCUUUGAUGAUACUCUUGUGAACAUGGCUGAAGGAUUUGCUGCAGUUUUUGUUACAUUUAAGAUUGCUUUGGUCACAACUUUGUUCUAUAAAAGAGUUUAAGUCUGUGUCACUCAGGAUAGAAACUUGAUCUGGGCUGAGAUUACAGCUGUUGUUCUUGACAUGUAUCAGCUGCUCGCCAGUGAUGUAUUAGUACUACCAAUAUAAGGUUGCUGCGCGGUAGUGCAAACACGCUUCUCUUCUUAAGGUGACGCAUCUACCUUGAAUCCACUCUUUGAAUAUCAUUCAAUCGGUUAAAAAAAUAUAUUCACUGUUAUUAAUUCGCUUCCAUGAUCUGAUAUGUUUGCGAGGUGUAACCAUCCUUUUCUUACAGAACCCUUCAUGAUAGGAAAUAAAGUUUGAUAGAAACAGAAUUGAAAUUUCCUUGGAUUAGAAGUUUUUUGUCUGGCAGGAAAAGGAAGUGUCUUCCCCAUUAUUUGGUACCAAGCCGGGAAUGUCAGAAAUAUUUAUCUUCAUCUAGAGCUGCGUACAGACUCUAAACUAAGAGAGUUCCGCAUCGCCAAAUGUUAUGUCUACCAUCCAAUACUCUAUGGACUUUACCAACCCCAAUUGUUUCGGUAAGUUCAGUAGGGUGGUAUCGAAACUCUGAAGUCUGCCAGAUGCUUCUAGAUCGUAGAUGUGAGGGAAUUAAGGAAGCAAGUAGUGUACUCCAUCAGGCACUUUCUUUGCCCUCUAAGUCCCUCAGGCGUGCACAAGGACAGACUCACAGGGACCAUGCAUCCAGCAUAUAGCACAACUGUUUCUCUUCAUGAAGAAUGCAUCCAAAUCUCCAGUAGCAUAUAGCACAACUGUUUCUCUUGUUUCAGGAGAUUUCGUCCAUAACACCGGAAGCUCUGCAUUUUAGCAACGUGCUAUCUUUAGAAUAAACAGGUUAUAUGUUCACAUCAGCUUGAAGUGUCAUUCUGAAAUUUGUAUAUUGACACAAGGGAGGAAGACAAUGUUAAGUUAACUACCUUGUACUGGGAAUCAGAGAUGUCGUUAAACUGCACUCUUGUGUAGCUGAGUGCUUAUUUUGUUUGAUGUGCCUAUCUUCUGAAGGUUAGGUGCGCACUCAUGUCUGAAGUGUGCAAAAAAAAUAAAAAAAAUAAAAUCAUGUGUAUCUGUCCUUCAGUUGAAAAUUUUAAAUGAUACUAAAUCUCUACCUCCCUGAUUUUUGAGACCUUCUCUAACUUCAUGAUAUGGACCUGUUAUAGCUCUACGAAAAGCAGAAAAAAGUGGUAGCUUACCAUUUUCUCCUGGUAGAAGAAAUGGUAGGUUACCCACCAAACAAAAAAAAGAGGCGUAUGCAAAAAUAUAUUGCAAAUGUUUCAAAAGUUAGAAUAGUUAAUGAGUAAGUAAUAGGCUGAUGUAGCAUGGGACAACCCGAUCUGUUGGCUGGGCCAUCUCCUUGCAACCUAUCCUGGUGGCAAGCUUAAGAAUAGUUAUGUGGGCCAAGUCGGCCAAAUUGGUCAAUUUAGCCCGCCAUAUGAUCCUACUAGUGUCUGCCACCUUAAGAUUUCUGGUUCACUUUAAGCCUGAGGAAAACUUAUGUGUUCUCAUGAUUGCAUAUAAAAUCUUGUGAUAAUCCAUUGGCAAUUAUUUCUUGUGAUAUUCAAUUUUCACUUAUGUUCCUUUUGAAGUAAACAUGUUACUUCUUUUCUGAAAAGCAAAUACCUGUGGCUUCUUUCUCUCCAUGGUACACUUUGAAUGUCUGUGGUGUUCUACUUGUUAAAUCCUGCAGCUGUACAUGUUGCCGGUCAAGUCUGUCUAUCCAAGCAAUAAUGCUCUUCCGAAAGUAUCUCUAACCAUUGAUCAAGAGCAUUAAAGUUCUAUUUCUGAAUUCCUGAUGAGAAAAUUCACAUUCUGAACUAUAUCACUAUGGUCCAUCCAUGCAACCGCUGCUAAGAAGCUGGGUGCAUUGGACAAUGAAAACUUUAGCAGGUGAUCUCUGUGCUGCCAUGCCUACUUGGUUUGAUAAAUGACCAAUCUUCGUAAUGAUGUCUACAUUCUAUGCCUUUUGUUUUCUACAGUACAAAUCUUUAUUGACUAUAAGAUGAGGGAUGCACUAUUUUCACAAUUUUACUGUAAAACCUAGACAGCUAGGACCCUUCUGGUGUUUCUGGAGAACAUACCGGCUGUGGAACUUACCGUCUUCAAGUAACCUUCUUAUCAGUCUGAGCAUCAUGUUAUUCUGAUCAUUGGACAGAAAGCUGGAGCUAGUCGAUUGUUGGAGUUAUUAGGGGAACCAUCCAGCAAUCGAUCAGGUGCAGUUGUUCAAGGUCUAUUCUGAUUCGACAAUCUGGAUUCUCAGUUCAUACCAGUACCGAGUCUCAUGAGACCGAGUGAAAUUGUUUUUAUUCUGUAAACAAGCAGGCAGGAAAUAUUCAGAUCCUAAACAGGUAGUGGCCUAAACUGAACAUUCUUGAAAAACUGUGCACACUAAACUGUUCUAUUUGGUCUGUCAGUUGAUUCGCUUGCUUUUGUUUGUUUCUGUCAUACAAUUGAGGGAAAUUUGAUUA